rnacentral:lncRNA from 1 species
UGUGAAGGUGGUGGAUAACUUGGAGUGGGCGGAGGGUAAUGGGAAGGUGGUGGGCUUGAAGUAGGAGGCGGAUACCUUGGAGUGGGCGGAGGGUAAUGGGAAGGUGGUGGGCUUACAGUAGGUGGUGGAUACCUUGGAGUGGGCGGAGGGUAAUGGGAAGGUGGUGGGCUUGAAGUAGGAGGCGGAUACCUUGGAGUGGGCGGAGGGUAAUGGGAAGGUGGUGGACUUACAGUAGGUGGUGGAUACCUUGGAGUGGGCGGAGGGUGGGAAGGUGGUGGAUACCUUGGAGUUGGUGGAGGAUAAUGGGAAGGUGGCGGGCUUACAGUAGGUGGUGGAUACCUUGGAGUGGGCGGAGGGUGGGAAGGUGGUGGAUACCUUGGAGUUGGUGGAGGAUAAUGGGAAGGUGGUGGGCUUACAGUAGGUGGUGGAUACCUUGGAGUUGGUGGAGGGUAAUGAGAAGGUGGUGGGCUCACAGUAGGUGGUGGAUACCUUGGCGUUGGUGGAGGAUAAUGGGAAGGUGGUGGAUACCUAGGAGUUGGUGGUGGUUGCGAAG